ACAGGGUGAGGUGGGCCCAGGAGGACCCAGCGGUGCACCAGGGCUGACAGGCUCUAAAGGCGAGAGAGGAGAUCCAGGACUGCCAGGGAAACCGGGCCCACCGGGCCCGAAGGGUCCUGCCUCACGACUGAACGUUGGCACUAUUGGAAUGCCAGGGAAAAUGGGACGUUCAGGUGAGAAAGGAGAUGCCGGACCUCAAGGAGAGACUGGACCAAUGGUACGAUCUGGUUUUGAGUUUUAUUUAUCGAUGGUUGUCAUCUGACCCAUAAGGUUUUCUGUCA
rnacentral:lncRNA from 1 species